ensembl:lncRNA
GAAAUCUGCAUCCUCCAUCUCUAGAGCCAAAGCACUCCUUUGCUGUGAUUGCUGCCUUUGAAGCAAGCUAAGCUUUCCAAGUGCAAGCUCCAGCCAAGCUUGGGCUCUGGCUCAGCGCUCUUGACACAAAGUGUUCUCCAGCCCUGGGAUAUAUAACCUUCCAAGUCUUCCCACAGCUCCUGGGCCGUGGCUUGGCAGCAGUGCUUCCCUGCGCUGGGCAGAAGCAGGUUAGAUCCAAGCCUGAGAAACCACCGUUGCUGUAAUGAUACACAAAAUAGAAAUCUCCACCUAACCCAGGACAAAAUGCUGUGCAAUCACUUUUGGAUCGCUGUGGGCUGCUUUCGCCGCAGACGCGAAGUCUGACAUCCAAAUGCACAACAGAAGCACAGUGCUUGUGGAACACAGGAUGACACAGCCUCGGAGAGCGAUAAGAGAUUCCCAUCGCAGCCGGAGAACACCCCCGUGGCCCUUGAACUUGUGACGCCCGGCGGCUCUCGUUAUAUCACCGAGACUUUGCAAAAUGCUCUAGGUGACAUAAACCGCAGUUUAAUGUGUUAGCAUUUGCCCGUCUGGGGGAUUCCUGAGGCUCAGCCAGCAGCGGGGCUGUGGGAAAGGAGGAGCGCAAACACCGCUGUCCUCUGCUGACCCGGCUUGUGCUGCUGCGUCGCUGACAGCCAUAAUAGGGAGCUCUGCGGAGAGGACUGGGUGUCUCGUCCCUGUCCUCGUCCCCUUUCUCAUUACCGUGGAUGAAUUCAAGCACUUAACAGCUUUUGGCUGCUAACUGCAGCUCGGGAUCGUCGGUAACAAACUGCGUCGUGGUGUGCAGCACUGACAGCCCCGAGUGACGCUGCCCGACCGAGUGCCGCUUGCAGCUGCAGCCCCG